AGUUUCGAAAGCAAAAGUCACCACCGCAACCGCUGACGUGUCCAUAUUUAUUCUUCCUCUCUCUCUGUCUCUCUCUUCAUUUCAACUGUAUAUUCCAUUUUCGCUCGUUCUUUCUCUCUCUAAAAUCUCUAUUCAGAUACAUAGGGUUUUCUGAUCCUACUCCAAAUUCCGCAUCACUGUGAAUUUGAAUCAAAUGGUUUGAAAAGAUCGGUGAUUCGGUGUGCUUGCUUGGAAAUUAGAAAUGGCUAUUGCUGGAGUGCAUAAUGCAGCUGGGAUGGAGUCUACAUUUUUGAGGGACUCUCAUUCUCAGUCGCCAAGGAGGCAAGAAGAUGGAGGAAGGGGAGGUAGACGAUCAUCUUCACUCUUGCAAAGGUGGCGGGAGAUUGAAGAUGAGCACGUGGUGAGACAAGUUCAAGGAAGAUCUGACGAAGUGUUAGUUCAACAAAGAAGUGAUGGGUUGGUUGCAGACCCGUCACAGGAAAGUACGAAUCAUAUGACAGAAGGUUCAGUUUUGGGUGAGAAUGAAUCUGAAACUUGGUCACAGUCACAGAGUCAGAAUGGGUCUCAAUGUGAACAGGAUCAGGAGGAGUUGAACAAUUCUAGUCGUGAAAACUCUUCUAAUAUUGGAGAGAGUGGAAGGGAAAGAGUGAGGAAAGUUUUCAGGGAAUGGAUGAGUAAUGGUGGUUCUAGGGAUCAUGCAUCAAAUAUUGCUCCACGAAAUAGUGGUUCAAGGGGUGAAUUGCUUGGGGAAACUGACCAGGAAAGAGUGAGUGUCGUAAGGGAAUGGGUAGAGAUGAGUAGCCAGCUGAGAGGUGUUUCUGUUGGGGAAAAUAGGGAGGAACAGUCUGCUGAAUUAGGUAACCAAGUUGAGUGUGUUCGUGAUGGAUUGGCUGUAAAUCAGAAUGAAGGCCAAAGUGAGCAUAUAUCACGAAGAAGAAUCCGUAAACUACGUGGUCGGCAGGUGCUGCUUGAUAUGGUAAAGAAGGCUGAGAUGGAAAGGCAAAGAGAAGUCCAGGAAUUAUUGGAACGCCGGGCUGUAUCUCAUUUUCCCCAUCGCAAUCGGAUUCAGGCCUUGCUUAGAGGCAGAUUUUUGAGAAAUGAUAGACCCAUUGAUAAUAUCCGGUCCACUUCCAUUGCAGAAAGUGAAUUGGGAUUAUUGAGACAAAAACAGACUGUAUCAUGUCUAAGGGAAGGAUUUUCUUCUAGAAAAAACAAUUCAGGUUACGGCCAAGCAGCAAGCAACCUAUCUGAGACCUCAUCUGACAGUGAUACUGAUGUUGAUACAGUUGAACAAACUGGAGCUACCAGUUCACAAUUAGUCCCCUCUGUACAUUCUGAACGAUCAAAGCCUAAUAAUAAGGAAAGUGAUAGACUUGGGAUAUCACAUGCUUGUGAUGAAGAAGAAGAAAGAAACUUGGAGUCAUCUUCCAAUAUUAGGGUUGAAAGAAGAGAUGACACCACACAAAAUGUUGAUACAAUGCCAACUGAAGAUACUGAUAACGGCAUUACCCAACAAAGCUUGCAAGUUGAAGUUACGGAGCAUAUCGAUAUGCAAGAACAAGAACCAAGUGUGAUACAAACUGAGCAAGCUCUGCAGGGUGAUAUAGAUGGUGAAGAGAGCAAUCUAUCAAAUCACAACAAUCGUGUAGAGGAAAAUAUUGUUGAUGAUGUAGAUUCAGUUGAAUCUGUUGCAAUAGAAAGAGGGCCCCAUGAGGAAAUUAUUGUUGAAAAUGAAGGAAGUGAGUGGAAUCAAACUAAUAUUGACUGGAGAGACAGUACCCAGGAAAGUGUGGAUGAUAAUCAGCUCAGUAGCACGUCAAAUGAAUGGCCCCAAAACAUCUUAGGAACGGAAGAUGGAGACAAUUCUCGUCUACAAGAUCAAGUAGCUGAAGUCUGGCAAGAAGAUGGUAGCUUUCAGGAGGCUGUGGAAAUUUGGUUGGGAGGACCUUCUGAUAACGAAGUAGCUCCAGUUGGUAGAACUCAUGGAUUUUAUUUUCCAGAAGACGACAAUGUGUACAGUGUUGAACUCAGGGAACUGCUAAGCAGGAGGAGUGUCUCAAACCUCCUACGCAGCAGUUUCCGAGAAAGUCUUGACCAGUUGAUACAAUCAUAUGUUGAAAGGCGAGGUCAUGCUCGCAUUGAGUGGGAGCUGCAAGAAACAACCCCUUCUUCUCCCUCGACAGAACAAGACCUGGAGCAGCAGAGAAGGAAUCAGAUUGUUGAUACGGAGGACAUUGUCAAUAGUUCACUUAACCUGCCUUUACCUCCAACUCCUCCUCCUUUGCCUCUAUGGGAUCGACACUCGCGUCAUGACAAUUGGUCCCAGAAUAGUAUAAAUAGUCAGCGCCGAGGAACUGUCCAUCCAUUUGCAGGACACAACCGCUUUCCUCUAACUGAUGAGUUGGAUAAUAUUAGUGACUUGAGAAUUGACAUGGUUAGGCUACAGCAAAGGAUGAAUAAUAUGCAGAGAAUGCUAGAGGCCUGUAUGGAUAUGCAGCUUGAGUUGCAACGCUCAAUAAGACAAGAAGUCUCUGCAGCCCUUAACCGCUCAAGUGGUUCAUCAGGAGUACGAGACCAUAUUACACCAGACGAUAAAUCUAAAUGGGAAUGCGUGAGGAAAGGACUUUGCUGUAUAUGCUGCGAAGGCAAUAUUGAUUGUUUGUUGUACAGAUGCGGGCACAUGUGCACAUGUUCAAAAUGCGCAAAUCAACUGCUCGAUAGUAGAAGAAAGUGUCCAAUGUGUCGAGCACCAGUGGUGGAAGUGAUACGUGCUUAUUCUAUAUAAUAGUAUUUUUUUGCAAUAAAGGGUCACAUAACAAAAUACAGAACUACAACAAGUUUUAACUCCUAGACUUUUCCAGCACUGUUGAAGCAAUCUCAGCACUGUAGAAAACGAUUCAGUUCUUGUUCUAUAUCUUGAAACAAUCUCGGAUUUCUCGUCGUACUCUUCGAUCACAAUCUGGUUUUAGGAAGAUUAUUGUCUUACCCGGAGCUUUUUGAUGAUCAUGUAUCUUGAACAAUUAUGUAAAUACAUGUUAUAUAUACUGUUGCUGCUUCCCGUUGAGGUGAAGGAAAAACCAAACAAAACAACAAAUUUGAAGCCUUUGAAAACUUACAUCCGAAAGUUUGAUUUUCAGUUUGCGAUGA